UCCCCAGCCUCACUCCCUGUGGGCCCUGGAACCUCUUCCGAGCCAUUAAGGCUUGCUUUGAACCCUUUGUCUGGCUCCUCCUGUUACCACCGCCAAUUUGAACCAGACAUCUGGUGCCGUAACCCGGGGGGAGGUUGAGGCCCGGCUCCAGUGGGAGGCCUCCCUCCUCCCAUUACAAGGACCUCAUCUGAGCCCCAUGCCUCGAGACACUGGGGGCUUGCUUCAAGUGUGGCGCUGACAGACACUGGGCUCAUCAAUGUCCAAAUCCAAAGGAACCAACGCACCCAUGCCCUCAAUGCCGGAGGAUGGGCCACUGGAAAUCUGCCCUGACAUUGGAGAAUCCCUGGUGCCUCCACGCAGAGGAAACUCCGAGCCAAUAGAGGCGGCACCUGCAUGUUCCUCAAGGAAGAUGCUGUUACUACAUCAAUGAAACAGGUGUAGUCGAAACCAAUCUCCACACUCUUGCCAAAGUUCGAAUGAAUUCGAGAGGUGUCUAGGGUAUCUCUCAACCAGCUUCUGCUGCACUCCUACUCCCACGUGCCCACUUCUGACAACCCCUACAACACCCCCUACUCAGCAGGAAGUAGCCAGAUCUGAGUCAUCGCCCUAUGACAACAAAAAAAGGUCAGAAUGUUGGGCCGGCAGGAUCGGGAGGACUGGAAAUCAGCAACAGAGUAGCGAUGGAGCCUGCGUCUUGUGAACUCCACCCCUCCCCUCCACCUUGUGAACUCCACCCCUCC